CAACUGUGUGGAAACUCUCAUUCUACUUAUGUAAUUAGCCAAGGGAGUUGCAAAAAGCCAAGGCUUUAUGCAGAGGUCUUUACAUCCUUCUGGAAGCACAAGGAGCUGGCUAACCUGUCACUGGGAAUCCACCCCAGCUCCAUGGAGCUCCUGAAUUUUAAACGUAAACUUGCUGAUAACAAUGCAAGCUCUGAGGAUGGCUUCUUAGCUUUGUGUCCUCAAAGGUUUCUGCAGAUCAACCAUCCCUCUAGCUGUUUGACUGUUCAGAGACCUGGUUUGGCCCUGGAAGUUUUCUGCACAUUGUGUGCACACGUGUGGGGGCACUUGGCCUGUGUAUAUAUGAGUGCAGGUCAGAGCUCAAAAUCAAGUCUCUUCCCCUGGCACUCUAUUUUUUGAGACAGGGUCUCUCACUGACACUAGAAUUCAUUGUUUGGACUAAACUGGCUGGCCAAAUAAGCCCCCCAGAAUCUGCCUAUCUGUUCAUCCCCCAACACCAGGAUUAUAGACACCCACCACUGUGCUUCAAUUUUUUUUAAUGUGAGUUCGGGGAUUUGAACUCACGUCCUUGUGUCUAUAAAGCCAGAGAGCUUUCACCUACCGUGAUAUCUCCAGUAUUGGGGAUCUUAUUAGCUAGGAUCCUACAGUCAGAGGCAUUUGGAUAUGACCCCGUAAGCAUGGGAUUCCUGGAAAGGCAGCUAGGAGCAGCCUCUCUAACCUACCACCAUUAAAUAAUCUAACCAGUUCUCCAUUCUAGGGUGAUCGGAGAAGCCAGGAGGCAAUAUCGUAUAGGAAAACGAAUGGGGUCUCCGUAUGCAGGCUGAUCCCCCCUCCCCUACUGACCUGAGCAGAUCUGCCUGCGCCAGCUAUAAAUCUACUGGUACCAUUUCUUUUUCGUCACUUUCCUAAUCCUGUGCCCUUGGUUUCAUGUGCUGUAAUUAUUAACAUCUGCUUUCUGAGCCCAGCACGCAUGGAGUUUGCAAAGGCAGUUCUGGGACCAGAACAAUAGUGACAGCUGUUUCAUUUAGCCUAGGGCCAGCACUUCCUGUUCAGACUACAUCUGCCCUUCUGUGUCCAAUUUCGGUUUUCAGGGUUUUGUGUUUUGUUUUCUAUUUUUUUCCCUUCAUCUGACCUUACUAUAUGUUUAAGAGGAAUUUCUAGCUUAGCACUGUUGCUAGGAUUUCUAGCACAUAUGCUUAUUCUGUUAGCAACAGGCAGAGACAGACAGAGAGUUGAGAAGACCCAGACUGUCCCCAGCAGCUAAGAGGGUAGAAGGAGGGGACAGGGUAAAGAAUUGACUAGGACCAUAGUAGCUACCCUGGAAAGGUUCCUAAGCCCUCAAAGUGACCUCUCUGGAAAUUAGGUACAGGAAAGAUGGACCUAGUCGAUCUGCCCUCCAGCAGAGGCUCAUCUCCUUGGCUUCUUUGGUGAGAGAAUCACCAGACCAUUCCUUCAAGGAAGACGUUCAGGGUGGCCUCUCACAUGCAGAGGCUCCUUCUCUUUGGGCAGCAAGCAAGCUGCUCAAAUAAGGCAAGAGGCAGAGAGAUCCAGCUUCCCUUUUCCCUUGGAGCCAACAGCUUCGUGCCUGAAACCCCCCGGUUCACUCAGGGAAGUCCGUAGGAUAGGUAAGACCGUAUGACAUGGUCAGAAUAAAGGAAUGUGGCCUUUCAUGAUAUUCACACAGCUACAUGUGAAUGUGGAAGACAAAGAAAAUGGGAACCACACCCUCUACUGCCCUUCCACCCACCCAGCUCUUCCUGGUCUAAUUCCAGAUGGCUCAUACCCAAAGUCUUCUGCCCGGCUGGCACAUAGAUGUCAAGUUGCUAGCCAGAGACCCCCAUCGCAAAUGCCAGGUUAGAUGUCCACAGGCCUUGCUGGAUAUUAAUCACUAUGGCAGGGCGAAAGCCUAACCUUCCCAUGGAUAAUCUUGUAUGAAGCUACAAGUGAUCCGUGGAUGCCCAAGUCCGAGAGUGAGAGUCUCGGGGUUCAGAGACAUGGUGACUCGAUGUCUGUGCAUUUUAUUGGAUCCAGGGAGGGCAAAGGCCCUGGAGUUCAGCACCCCUUCUUUUAGUUUCCUUAACAGGUGACAACAGUGGGCCCCAGAGAGAAGCAACUACUAGUCUACAGCUUCAGCUUGGCCAUACAAGACAGAGCCAGGUAGAGGGUAUUCACCCAGCAUGCCUCUCUCGUAAGUAUGGUGCCUCUUUACACCAUAGCUCUCCUCUACUCCCUUUUUAAGAUAUGUCUUUUAACUUAAGUAUAUGGUGUGUGUAGAAAUGUCCACCUGAGACCAGGUGCCUGCUGAGGACCAAGGACUCAGCUUUCCCUGGAGCUGGGAUUUCAGAUGGCUGUGAGACUCCUAACAUGGGUGCUGGGAACCAAGGUCAGGUCCUUUGCAAGAGCAGUAUGUGAUCUCAAAGCAGAAGCAUCUCUCCAGUUCCUCUUCUAGGACCUUCUAAGUGGCUCUGGACCCCAUUCUCAUGUACAUAGAGUGAGGCAGCCCAGGGAGACCCUGAAGUUCAGUUCUUAUGUCUGAAGCCCACUUUGUUAUGGUGGCUCCUGGCUACUAGUGGACAGCUGUCUCCUACUAGCUCCUAAGACAAGAACUUGAUUGAACCGGAUAUAAGGACCUGUGUCUUUUCAUUUGACUUGAACUGGAAGUAGCCAAGAUACCUGAUUCAGGCUGUCGGACACUUCAUAGGCUUCUCCCUAAGCACUGGAAUCCAAAGUGCAAAUUAUAGGCUCUCAGUGAGGCCAGCCAGGGCUCCUCCAUCUUCUGCCUAAGAGCCUGCUCUGUGAUGGGCAUGCCAGGCAUCCCUGCGGGGGAUGGGGUGGGGGUGGCUCCUUGCUUCCUCACUGUGAUGGGCAUGCCCAGCCACGCCCACCUAUGAGUUCCUGCCCCCACCCCCACCAGCUUCCUCACCCAGACUCCCCUAACACACUCCUUUCUCUUUCUCACUCACUCCUUUUCUUCUUAAAGUUAAUUGCAACUUUUUUCUCAGCGCCCUGAUCUGGAUAAGCCACAUCUCAUUAGAAAAAGAUUUAGCCAGAGCCAAAGCAGGCUGGAGAAGGAAUCCCUAAUCAACAGAGAAAAGAUUUGGGUGUAAUUGCUCUCUCCCGCCAUUCUCGCCCCCCCCUCCCUCUUCCAAUCUUUUUCUGCUCAUUAAUCUGAAAAGAAAGUCCCGCUAAUGUCUGUGUUCAAGUAUCUGCUGCAGCAGCAAGCAAAUCCAGGAGCUUGGGGACAGGGGUUUUGAAGGGUGUCACACAGAGAGUUGUGGUCAUGGUUGGGGUUCAUGAAUGAGAUGGUUUGCGGAGGGGGGCUUGGGGGAAUGUUGAAGGGUUUGGCUUGAGAAAGUAUGCAUGAAUGUUUGUGAAAUGCUGUGGUCGUUGGGGUGUUAGGAGUGGUUGUUGGUAUGGGAGUAUGAAGUGCUGAUAAUUGGGUAUCUAAAAAGAAGCUCUUCACAUUGUGUGUGUGUGUGUGUGUGUGUGUGUGUGUGUGUGUGUGUAGCUCUUUGGUUAGUGCUAUGGAUAUAAUGAAGUGUUCUGACUAUUAGUUGUGUAUAUGAAGGCUUUGCACUAUUGGGCAGUGAGUGAGUGUGUGUGUGUGUGUGUGUGUGUGUGUGUGUGUGUGUGAGAGAGAGAGAGAGAGACAGAGAGACAGAGAGACAGAGAGACAGAGAGAGAGAGAGACAGAGAGAGAGAGACUUCCUUCAUUCAGCAUUGUGUAUCACCUAACUCAUGGCCCCUCUUUUGUUUCCCCCAAUGCCUGAGUAAAUUCUGACAGGUGCUUAGAUGUUGACACAGGGGAACUGAACUAAGGAGCAACCCAUUUCGCAGAUGAGGAUUCUGAGGCAAAGAUAGAUCUGGGCAGACCCACGUGGCUCACAACAGAGCUAGAACACAAACCUCGGCAGUCUGACAGCAGAACUCUGAACAAAGGAAGGGCCUUCAAGAAACUACAGAUGAGGAAAAAAUGGCGGAUGAGUCUCUGGUGCUCCCAAGCACACUACCGUGUUCAAAAGCCCCAAAGCUGUGCCAGAACACCUACACAGGAGACAUAUCUCCCAUGGUCUCAUCUCAGACUUAAAAGAUCCUUCCUCCUUGAUGACAUUUUGCUCCAGCUCUGUGGGCCUGACCUUGGCCCCCUCCAGAGUCCCAGGGAUGACUGCUCCAAGACAACCCAAACACCCCCCCCCCAUCUUGUUCCACCCAGGUAGGUGAAGCCAGGUUUGAGCCUCUAUAUGUUUAUAAAACAUGGCCCAUUCAUGAUUACAGGCUGUCUCCAUAACUAUCAAGCGAUAGCAAUGGCCACAGAGGGCAGCUCUGCUCCAGUCAUGCAGAGUGGUCUGGAGCUCACUGAGGCAAGCUUCCAAGUCAAAGGGCAAAACCAACAUCUAGUGUCUCAAGGUGGCCAGGAUCCUGGCUCUGGGGUCCUCUAGGACCAAUCCCACUUCAUAGAGGACCAAUCCCACUUCAGGGAGAGCAGGUUCCAGCAACUGUCCCAUCUCAGCUCAUCGUGCUGGUUAAAACCAUCACACCUUCAGUGGACAGAGGACAGGGGGGAUAUCUCCAGAGAAUGUUAAGCCCCAGGAAGAUUUUCAACGUUUGUUGGUGACCUGCUGAGAGUAAGGAAAAGCAAGAACAAGACUGAGCACCUGGAUAGUUGACACUAGCCACAAGAGGCCAUGGAGUGUUUGAGCUAGAGGCCAACAGUGGCCUGUAAGGGCCGAUGGCACCAGAUUCGGAAGACACGGUGAGAAAUGAAGGCAUAAGUGGCCUGGCUAUUCACUAGACCCAGCAGGAGAGUCUGAAGAUGCAACAUGAGGUGACUUACAAAAACCAAGAAUGGUCACACUCAGUGCUUUGAUCACCUGUUCUCAGUUGCUUGUCUAUUCAUGUAUUUAUCUAGAGACAGGGCCUUGCUCUGUAACCUUAGCUCAUCCUUAUGUGAACAGUGUUGUCUGAGCACAUAGUGACUCCUCUCAGUAGAUACCGCCUAUCACAUGACUGAGAGUGAACCGCAGGGACGGUCGGGUCUUUUGGUGAGGGGUAACCUCUCUCAUGUCACCUUUAAACAGUGAUUCUCAAUCUACCUAAUGCUUCAACCUUUAAUACAGAUCCUCAUGUUAUGGUGCCCCCCCCCAUUGUAAAAUUAUCUUUCUACCUUCAUGAAUCACAGUGUAAAUAUUUUGGGAAAUAGAGGUUUACCAAAGAGGUCUUGACCUACAGGUUGAGAACUAUUGCUUUCAGAGUCAUUCAAUCUGAAAAUUCAGAGGAAAAUGCCACUGAUAAGCCUUGCGGGAGUCGAUCAUCACAUCAUCCAAGUGGUAAUAGUCUGGCCAACUGAUUGGCCAGUUCUGGGUCAACAGACUCAGAUGCUCUAGCAAGGCAUACCUUGAAGCCCCACCCCAACCUCCAAACAGACACACUCGAAUGCUGAAUUUGACUUAAGGUGGCUUCACCUUGAACUUGGCUUUUGAAGGUUUUGUUACUGCUGCAACUCAAUUCCCUGAUUGAAGGGGUAACAGAAACACCCAGAAAGAAGGCUUACUGACGUGGGGUGGGUGUUGGCCUGGUUCUUGUAAUGUCAUCUGCUGGAAUCUGACUAGAAUAAGACUAGAGACUUUAUACUUCGAGAUGCGCUAGGGACUAAGUUCUUUCCCCAGAUAGUAGCCAGCAGGCUACACUUUCUGUCCUUUGGAGGAGUGACACAGAUCCUCUCCGCUGGCCUUCUCCACCCUCUUCUCCCACUGUGGGAGACUGCCUGACCUUGUUUCUAUUCAACCUUUUCUCAAAUUUUUACACCUGAAUUUUGGUAAACAACCUCCUGUGCCAUGGAUAGGGGCCUUAUCGGCUCCCCAGAGACCUCCUACACCAAACCCUUUUGUUAGGGGGAAAAGCCUGCCUUAGAAGAAAGUGGAGCGGGAGUUCACUCCUCCCAGCGUUGUUAUCUAGCCAUUGAGAGACUCUUGAGUUCAAAGCGCCGCCGCUCCGCAGUCUCUGGCGUUCCUCGGCUGCCCUCUUCUGGGAAGCCCUAGUAUGACGUGAUCUCCUGGCUAAUUCACAAGGGAAGAGGCCCGUAUUCACUCAAGAAAUAUUUAUUGAAAAGAAAUUGCGCAUGCGUCAUAGUUCUGGACUCUUGGGAUUCAUCGCUGAACAAAACAGACAGAAUCCUGUUCUCUUGCGUCGUGGUUAUGCAAAAUGAGCAGCGGGUGAAAAAAAAAUCAGACGUAAUACAUGACAGGGGAGCUGGAAAUAGCGAGCGGGUGAAAAAGCAAAGCAAGUUGCAAUGCGCUUUUCCGAGUCAGCUUCGUGAAGAAGGUGGCUUUCAACCAAAGACUUGAAGAAAACAAGAGGCUUUGCUUUGGAACUAAGCAUAUAAGUGACAGGGAGAUGGCCAGUCGGCCAAAUGCUUGCUGUGCUUCUAGUUAGGGUUGUGGUUGCUGUGAUGAAACACCAUGACAAAAAGCAAGCUGGGGAGGAAAGGGCUUGUUUGGCUUAGAAAUCCUAAAUCAGCUCACUUAGGGAAGCCAAGUCAGGAACUCAAACUGCACAGGAACCUGGAGGCAGGAGCUGAUGCAGAGGUCAUGGAGGAGUGCUGCUUGAUGGCUUGCUCCCCAUGGCUUGCUCAGCCUGCUUUUUUAUAGAACCCAGGACCACCAGCCCAGGGAUAGUGCUACCUUCAAUGGUAUGGGCCCUCUCCGACCAAUCAUUAAUUAAGAAACUGCCCCACAGACUUGCCUACAGCCUGAUCUAUGGGGGCAUUCUCUCAUUUGAGAUGCUUUUCUCUUAAGUGACUCUAGCCGGUGUCAAGUUGACAAAAUUAGCCAGCUCACUGUGUAAGCAUGGGGACCUUGGUUUGAUUCCAUAGAACAGAGAACUUACAUUUUUUAAAAAAAGAAAGAAAAAGCCAGGCAGGGUGGUGCAUGCUUACAAUUCCAGGGCAGGGGAGGGAGAGACAGGCUAUCUGGGGUUUGAUAGCCACGCAGUCUAGCUGAAUCAGUGGAGACACUGACUCAAAGAAACAGUUUCUGAAAAAUAACACCCACGGUUAACCUCUGGCCAGAGCAUUCAUACCCACAUGUGGGUGUCUCUCCAGGGCACUCUGUGAUUCUGAGUGUGGAGGUUAGGCAGCUAACUAAGGUCCUGUCUCCGGACUCAUGUAUGCAAAGGAGCUUUCAGUUCACUAGUCUAUUGCACAACGAGGGAACUGCCACAGACAGACCGGUUUUCUUUAAGGUCCUGUGCAAUGGUUUGAUUUGGGGGGAGGGGCAGAGUCCCAUAAUGUAACCUAUGCUGGUCCUGAAAUCUUGGCAGUCCCUCUAGGCCUUGGGUUACAAGUGGCAGGAACCACCAUACCUUUUGCUUUUGCUGUGCUUGUUAAGAAUAGGUGUCUGCUGCUGACACUAGUCCAACAUGCUACUACUGGUAUAAGAAGUAUAGGGAAGACCAUGGAAGUUUCUAAAUCUGGGAGCAAGCACUGAGAAAAUGACCUAGGGGUCCUUGGGCCAAAGACACAUGAGAAUAAAACCAUUGCUAAGAAGUCAACCACUCUUUAAAAAAAAAAAAGUGGAUUUUCUUGUCCCUGGGAGAUGGCUCAAUCGAAAAGUGUUUGCUGUGCAAGCGUGAGUACCUGAGUUCAGAUCCCAGAAUCCAUGCAAACAGGCUUGCAUGGUUGUGCACAUCUGUCACUCCAGCAUAAAAGGGUGGUGACUGGCUGGCAAGUUCAGCCAAUUAGUGAGCUCCUGGUUCCAUUGGAGACCUUAUCUCAAAAACUAAGUGGAAGAAAGGAGACAAAUAUGAUCAAAUUACAUUGUAUGAAAUUCUCAAAGAAUUAAUAAACACUAUAAAAAAUAAGGUAGGAAGGAAUCAAAAAAUAUUGUUAUCCACAAUACCACAUGACCAUCUGUAAUGAGACUCAUUCACAAACGUUUGUGCACGUGUACACUACACAUAUAAUUUUAAGUAAUUUUUCUGCUGUUAUAUUAAAUAUUUAAGGACUGACUUGGGGCUUCAGAAUGAACUUUGAAAUUUUGCUGGCAGCUUUUCAUAUCCUCAGAAAGGUGAGAAAGGUUAUAUCUGUGUUCAGAGAACCCCACCUUGUUCUCCAUCACUCGAAGCGACCUUGGUGUUGAUGGUUAAGAGGGACCCUUUUCUCCAAACUGAGACUUGACUGGAGAGUUGUCAUUAUGUAAUACAAUUGUUACAAUGCCUGGAAGGAGCCAGGAACUUGGAGACUAAAGAGUUACACUGUAUCUAGAGGGAAGCCAAAGGCAGAUGUGGAGGUUUCUAAAGCAGUACUAGAAGAAUCUACCCAUUUCUUUUACAAAGUUAAAGUUAUGGACAUAAAGUCACUGCUUAUUUUUGUUUUAUGAUUUAUUUAUUAUGUAUACAGCAUUCUGCCUGAAUGUAUGUCUGCUAGCCAGAAGCGGGAACCAGAUCUCAUUACAGAUGGUUGUGAGCCACCCCAUGUGGAUGCUGGGAAUUGAACUCAGGACCUCUGGAAGAACAGCCAGUGUUCUUAAUCUCUGAGCCUUCUCUCCAGACCCCUGCUUACUAUCUUUUUAUGUACAAGAUCAGUCCAUACUGACAGCUUUUUGCUUUGUUUCUGAUACUAUUCCUGUGUAUUUUCAUGGUUUUAUCUUUAGAUUUAUUUUUAUUUUUAUUCACGCUUUUUGUGGUUAAGUCACUGUGAGGGUAUGCCAUGUGUGCAUGAGUGUGCAAUGAGUCCUGAAGAGGACGAUGGGUCCCCCAGAAUUGGAGUUAUGGGUGGUUAGCUAUCUGGCAUGUGCUAGGACUUGAACACUAGUCCUCUGGAAGAGCAGUAAGCACUAUUAUUCCCUGAGGCAUUUGUCCAACCCCCUGUGUUUUCCUCUCUUAGCUUGUGUCAGUCUUGCUAGAUAUGUAUCUUUUAGUUUUGGUAGAUAUGUAUCUUUUUAUCUUCCUUUUUUCUUUUUGUCUUUCUGUUAAGUUACUUUUCCUUUUCAGUUUUAUUGUUUUCUACUCCUGUUGUAGUUUCUUUUAUUCUGCUUUCCUUUGGAGUGACUCUGUAUGCUGUUUUCUGGUUUCCUAUGGUGAGAACACUAAUUAGUGGCUUGAAAUGUUCCUCUUUUCUAAUAUCAGCCUUUCUAAUAUCAUGCUACGAUCACCCCCUUUGGCACAGCUAAUCCUGUGUUCUGUGCAGUUUCCUCUUCUUUUGAAAUUCCUUCUUCAGCCCCAUGAAUGAUUCAGCGAUGUGCUCUAUGAUGUCCAAGUGUCUGCAAGUUUCUUUGUUAUUUCUGGCUGCUGAAUUUUACAAACUUGGGCAUUGUAUACCCAUGAGAACAGCAUGUGAUCCAUGUAUUCAACUGUCACAUCACAAUGCAGAGCUCAACACAUGCGUUCAAUAAAUAAAAACGAAUGAAUAGAUUAGCGUGUUUACUUCAAACUCAAUGAAGGGGGACUGCAGGCUAAAGGGGCUGAGGAAGAUGGCAGGAAGUUGGAGUCAUUGUCCCCAGGGAAGGAGAUACAGGUGCCUCUUGUUUUCAUCUUGCUAGUGCCCAAAUUCUCUACUGUAAGGAGACACUGAACUCACAAUCAGGUCUCUGAAUGCUUUCACUCUUUCCUGGCAGAUUGUAUCAGAAUCUGAAUUAUUGAAAGAGCCAACAAGGAGGCCACAAAAUGACCCCCAAGGAGAUCCUAGAGCUAAACUACCCCAUCCUCUUGCUCAAAGACCCUAACUAACCUCUCAAAUUAUCAUCAUGUGCAGUAGUUGCUGUGGCAGCCUUAUCUCAAGUGAGAACCCUGUCAGAAGUAGCAGGCUACCACCCUGCCUAGGGGAAGGAUAGAUAAGGAAAUGGCCUAAACCAGGAACCACCCUGCCUAGGGUGAGGACAGAGAGGGAAGUGACUUGGAAAAAAAGACAAUGCCAGCAAAUACCACAAAUUCCACAAGAUGGGCAGGACAGAGCCAAAUGUAGGAGACAACCUUCCCAUUUGAGUUGACCAAUAAUUUUAAAUGUUGCUCAGGGUAACCAAUCACAAGUCAUCCAACUCAGGCAACCACUGAAUUCCCCGCCAAAAGUUUAUAAAAAAGUGUGUGUUUUGUGAGCUCGGGGUCUCCUCUUAUCUGCAUGCUGUGGGACCCCAAUGUAUGUUGGAACAAUAAACCUCUUGCAGAUUGCA